rnacentral:lncRNA from 1 species
CGCCGUCACCCGGCGCUGGAAGAGCCUCGAGACUGCAGUGCAAGGCCAUCUGCGCUCAGACAGACAGGCAGACACAUGUCUCCCUUUCCAAAUUGAUUCAUGUGGCCUGUGAUACCUGCACCUUGUAGUGAUCAUUUUUAUUCCACCAUUGAGAUGUGAAGACUUAGAUUUCUCAGGCUUUAACAGGAAUUCAAUCCAAUCUAAUAACCUCUGAAAAGAAUUUUGAGGCUGUUACUCUGUUGCAGAGGUUGCAAAGAGGGAUGCACUAUUCA